rnacentral:rRNA from 1 species
AGCGAACGCUGGCGGCAGGCCUAACACAUGCAAGUCGAACGAACCUUUCGGGGUUAGUGGCGGACGGGUGAGUAACACGUGGGAACGUGCCUUUAGGUUCGGAAUAACUCAGGGAAACUUGUGCUAAUACCGAAUGUGCCCUUCGGGGGAAAGAUUUAUCGCCUUUAGAGCGGCCCGCGUCUGAUUAGCUAGUUGGUUGAGGUAAUGGCUCACCAAGGCGACGAUCAGUAGCUGGUCUGAGAGGAUGAUCAGCCACAUUGGGACUGAGACACGGCACAAACUCCUACGGGAGGCAGCAGUGGGGAAUCUUGCGCAAUGGGCGAAAGCCUGACGCAGCCAUGCCGCGUGAAUGAUGAAGGUCUUAGGAUUGUAAAAUUCUUUCACCGGGGACGAUAAUGACGGUACCCGGAGAAGAAGCCCCGGCUAACUUCGUG